rnacentral:rRNA from 1 species
UACGUAGGGUGCGAGCGUUGUCCGGAAUUAUUGGGCGUAAAGAGCUCGUAGGCGGUCUGUCGCGUCGAUCGUGAAAAACUUGGGGGCUUAACCCUGAGCUUGCGGUCGAUACGGGCAUGACUGGAGUUCGGCAGGGGAGACUGGAAUUCCUGGUGUAGCGGUGAAAUGCGCAGAUAUCAGGAGGAACACCGGUGGCGAAGGCGGG